AGCUGUUUGGUGAGGAGUGCAGAGAGGCUCUCUCUAUAAUAAGACACUCUACAGAUAAAUCUGUGAUUAAAGAGAAGAUGAGAGCCACCUUUGAGUACAGACAGAAGCUGAUUCAUGACCAAGAUGCAACAUUGUCAGUCUUUGAAGUCUUCCCUCGUUUCCUUGACACGCCAGAGUUGAUCGACCAGGACUUUUCCAUGAUGUUUGGGGAUGAAGUAUCAGGAAGGUUUCUGGCAAAGUGGCCAUCCUAUUUCAAGAACAAAGUGAUUGCUGCAAGCCAGCGUCUUCCAUCGAGUUCCUACCUAGAGGAGUUACUGGCAUCUAUGGACCCCAAAGCUGAGAAUUACUUUGGUUGGGACAGUGAUAUAUCAGCUCUUCUGCUGCUGCUGCAUCUCUUGCCUCCUACAUCCAAAGGCCACAAGAAAUCAGCCAAAAUCAGCUCAGCACAGGCAGCCCACCGUCUUGUAAGAUUUGUAAAGGUGUGUUC